rnacentral:rRNA from 1 species
UGGGGAAUAUUGCACAAUGGGGGAAACCCUGAUGCAGCGACGCCGCGUGAGCGAAGAAGGUUUUCGAAUCGUAAAGCUCUGUCCUAUGAGAAGAUAAUGACGGUAUCAUAGGAGAAAGCCCCGGCUAAAUACGUGCCAGCAGCCGCGGUAAUACGUAGGGGGCUAGCGUUAUCCGGAUUUACUGGGCGUAAAGGGUGCGUAGGUGGUCCUUCAAGUCGGUGGUUAAAGGCUACGGCUCAACCGUAGUAAGCCGCCGAAACUGGAGGACUUGAGUGCAGGAGAGGAAAGUGGAAUUCCCAGUGUAGCGGUGAAAUGCGUAGAUAUUGGGAGGAACACCAGUAGCGAAGGCGGCUUUCUGGACUGCAACUGACACUGAGGCACGAAAGCGUGGGUAGCAAACAGGAUUAGAUACCCUGGUAGUCCACGCUGUAAACGAUGAGUACUAGGUGUCGGGGGUUACCCCCCUCGGUGCCGCAGCUAACGCAUUAAGUACUCCGCCUGGGGAGUACGCACGCAAGUGUG